AGGUGUUAAAUAUGGUUGUUUUCCUUACUCUCAUGAGCUGCGACCCCACCCCUCCCAUUGUGCCAUUCCUGAGUGAGUGACAUAAACCCUAACAUAGCCCUGAUCUGUUUCCUGACCAUAAACUCUCAGGUGGGUUGUGGGCCUUGGAGGUGUUAGAUAUGGUUGUUUUCCUUACCCUCAUGAGCUGUGACCCCACCCCUCCCAUUGUGCCAUUCCUGAGUGAGUGACAUAAACCCUAACAUAGCCCUGAUCUGUUUCCUGACCAUAAACUCUCAGGUGGGUUGUGGGCCUUUGGGGGUGUUAGAUAUGGUUGUUUUCCUUACCCUCAUGAGCUGUGACCCCACCCCUCCCAUUGUGCCAUUCCUGAGUGAGUGACAUAAACCCAAACACACCACACCCCUGAUCUGUUUCCUGACCAUAAACUCUUAGGUGGGUUGUGGGCCUUUGGGGGUGUUAAAUAUGGUUGUUUUCCUUACCCUCAUGAGCUGUGACCUCACCCCUCCCAUUGUGCCAUUCCUGAGUGAGUGACAUAAACCCUAACAUAGCCCUGAUCUGUUUCCCCAAGUGAGUCAGAUUGUAGACCAAGGCAUCACCUGUCAAUCAGUUUAAUUGCAUGGCCAUGAGAAGUGCACUCAGACUUACACUUCCAAGUUAAAACAUUCGAGUGGAAGCUUAUUCUACUUGAGUAUGAAAUGGCAUACGAGGUACCAACUUCAAAUUAUUUUAGUGUCUUUUUGAGAUAACUGCAGUGUUGAUUUAUUAUUCAGAGGCUUUCUUCAGUAUCAGACCUCUCUUUCGGCCACUCCUUACUUUUGUCUGUUAUGGGAGCAGUGAGUAACAGGAUU